GAGGGCAGUCAUGCCCCAAGUGCAGUGUUUUUGUGAUUAGGCACAACUGAAGCUUGUUAGCAAUAAUAUGACCCUGUGAUUAAUUGAGCGGCUGACCAAUCAUUACCUCCUCCUCCCUGCUCUUUCUACCCAAUAAAUACAAAGGGCUGUGGAAGCUCAAUGGGCUGCCUUUGCUCAUUAGAAGCAGGGAGCUCUCUUCUUCUUCCCCUGGAUCCUUCCUUUAAAAUAGUUUCUUUUGUCUUAAGUUUUCAUUUCUACGUUUGUCCCUUCAUUCAGUCUCUUAAAUGACGGUCUCAAGCAGUAACAGUAGUAAUUGCUGUAAUGACGGUCUCAAGUAGUAACCAGGGCACUCUGCCACAAGUGGCACCUGAACAGGGACUAACAGGGACUAUCAAGAACAAACGGAGACCUGAAGAGACCUGAAGGGAACUGAAGAGGUCUGCAGGGACAAAUAGAGAUAAGUAGGGAUAAAUAGAGAUAAAUAGAGACAAAUAGAGAUAGGUAAGGAAUGACAGGGACUUGCAGGAAGUAACAGGGACCAUAGGGACAGAUAGGGAUAGAUAAAGACUAGCAAAGACUAGCCGAGAUUAGCAAAGACCAGCAAGGACUAGCAGAGACUAGCAAAGACUAGCAGAAACUUGCAGGGACAGGCAGAGACAGAUAGGGACAGAUAGGGUCCUACAGGGACUUGAACGAGGAAGAUCUGCUGGAAAAGAAAAGAACUACAACCAACCAGAUGAACAAGAAACCCUGUUACAAGUCUGCUGGCAGCAACAUAAGGGUAUGCUUGUUUUUGCAGGAAAUGAACAAAAAGUGUGGGUGCCCCCAAGGUGUGUACUACCAUGGAAUGGGAGAUUGGAGGGACACAUGGAUCCCAACCGUGGGCCUGGUUCCCCCAGUAUGAGCUGAAUACGAAGACAGAACAAACCACCAACCGGCAAUUGAAGUGACACAAAGUGAACCGGGUUCUAUAAAUUACCAUGGAAAGUGGUGAGCCAACGAUUUGGCAGAACAAAACCCUGAGGAUAUGCAAACAAAAGGGACUAUGGAAUUUGCAAUUGCAGAUUAAAAUUGAAGAAGAAAACAUUUGAGUUGCAAAUACCGUAUUAAAAGUGGACACUGCUUAUGACUGCUGUAUGCAACAGUUUUUCAGGCCCGAGAGGAACCCAGACAUGCUCUAUUUGCAAACCGACUGCAUGAAACAAAAAGCACGGUAAUUCUGAAGCUGUUGGCUUGGAUGAAAUGAGAAUGUAAUUAAAAAGAAAAAGGUUAGCAAAAGAACAUGCUGGGAAUUGAAAAUAAAAAUCUGAAAUGAUGUCCCAGCCUGCCCUUAAGGUCUUUUCCACCAUGUAGAGAGCUACCUCAAAUGCUCUACUUGUCCCAGAGUCUAUGUUCUUUCACUACUAUUGCCUAUAUCUGUGUUUUCUGCUUUCAAUAAUCUAUUGAAAUAAUCAAAAUUAAUUACAUUCAGCAUUUUUUCUGUAUUACUCUGAUUCUAAUAAUUACCUCAAAUUUAUUUGUGCAUUUCUAUACUAGAAAGAAAAAAUAAUUUUUAGAGUUUUACUAUAUCUUCCCCUUAAUUCUAAGUUGCUUGUCACUAAUUCCUUUCCCAACACUAUGUUAUUUCCACCAAGAACAUUACCAAUAUCUUCAGGAAAAUUCCACCCCAUAUUUUAAGCCAGAUUGAUUAUUGGGAAUAUAAAUACAUUUAAGAAGGAAAGUCUUUUUGACUGUGUUUCUCCACAGACCAAUAGUAUACAAAACACAGAAGGCUUUUAAGCACAUUUCAUAGGGAUCACUGACUUAGAACAGAAGGAACCAUUUCGUGAAACACUCUCAUUUUGCACAUAAAGGAGCUGUGGCCCACAGAGGAAUAUGAUUUACUGAGAGUGACCCAGUUAGUGGCCAUAAACCAAAAGCCCCAAGAUGCUAAAUGUUUGUUAUGAAGAGUAAAAAUCCUCCCAGUUUAUAAGAAGUAACUUCAUCCUUCCAUUUUCUAUUUCCACGAUGACUCCCCUGGCUUAAAUUUUAAUCUCUAUUUUGGAUGACUCCAAAAUCUCAUUCUUCUAAAUUAAUUAUCUAAUACCACAAUGUUGCACUUAUCUUCCUACAAAUCUACUUUCAUCUGCCUUGACAAAGCCAACCCUAAUUUUCUCUAGUCCUCAUUAGAAAUUAUUGCAACAAAAAUUCACAUCCAGUCUGAAGUUUGGGAGCCAGAAAAGAAUUUUCCCAUUAAGAUGAGACAGUAUCAAUUAUUAAGCAGAGGAAGACACAAGAGGGAAAGCAGCUUUCACAUGAAAAAAAAAGAACUCUGAUUUUCUGACACAUUUUGUCAUUGCAGUCAAACUUUCAGAGUUAGAACUAGAGACCUAGAUAUUAGCUAACCCAGCAUUUUCCAAGUAUUCCUCGGAACUCUAGAGGCACAGCAUAGUACUGGUAAUGAUUUUGUGGCAGGAUAGAUUAAGGAAACCUCACAGUUAUACCAAGUUAAAUUCAUUUAUUUCAUGUAAAAUUCUGAUAGCCUUUUAUGCUACUAGGCCUAGUGAUACUCCAAAAUUAUUGGCCAUAUAUCUGAAAUUUAUUUCAGCAAGAAACCCUUUAAAGAGCAUCCCGCAGAGUUAGUGUUUUGAGGGAUAUCAUUGGGGAAAAUGCUGAUCUAGACCAAUUCAACAAAUUGUAACUUAGUUAACACCAGAGUCAAAACAAAAACCAAGUCUACUCAUGUCUGUCUUAGGCCCUUUUGGUCACAAAAACACGUUCAAACCACUUCAAUUAAGAAAAUGGUGAGAGGGGAAAAGACAAGCAGGGAACCUUAUCCCAGGUGGGCUGAUCACAGGACUUCCAAGGCUGUCCCUUAGAAGAGUCACGAUAAUGGCAUCUCUAGCACAAAACUCAAAUUUAGUUUUAAUUCUUAGUCGAAUAAUAAUACAGUAAAAUUUAUUGCAUGCAUAAGGAUAAUACAUUAAAACUACUUAAAUUACAUUUUAGGGCCGGGCGCGGUGGCUCACGCCUGUAAUCCCAGCACUUUGGGAGGCCGAGGCGGGUGGAUCACGAGGUCAGGA
rnacentral:lncRNA from 1 species